rnacentral:tRNA from 1 species
GGAGAGAUGGCUGAGUCUGGUUGAAGGCGCUCGCCUGGAGAGCGAGUAGACGGGUCACAAACCCGUCUCGUGGGUUCGAAUCCCACUCUCUCCGCCA